AUGCCGAAAGGAAAGAAGGGCAAGGGGAAGAAGUUGGCUCUGGCCCCUGCUGUCGUCAAGAAGCAGAGCCAAGAAAGUGGUGAAUCCGCUAUUUAAGAAAAGGCCUAAGAAUUUUGGCAUUGGACAGGACACCCAGCCCAAAAGAGACCUCACCUGCUUUGUGAAAUGGCCCUGCUAUAUCAGGUUGCAGCAGCAGAGAGCCAUCCUCUAUAUGCAGCUGAAAAUGCCUCCUGCGAUUAACCAGUUCAUCCAGGCCUUGCGCUGCCAAACAGCUACUCAGCUACUUAAGCUGGCCCACAAGUACAGAUCAGAGGCAAAGCAAGAGAAAGAAGCAGAGGCUAUUGGCCCAGGCUGAGAAGAAAGCUGCCAGCAAAGGGGAUGUCCCCAGUAAGAGACCACCUGUCUUUCAAGCAGGAGUCAGCACUUCACCACCUUGGUGGAGAACACGAAGACUCAGCUAGUGGUGAUUGCAUAUGACAUGGAUCCCAUCAAGCUGGUUGUCUUCCUACCUGCCCUGUGUCGUAAAAUGGGGGUCCCUUACUGCAUUAUCAAGGGGAAGUCAAGAGUGGGAUGUCUACUCCACAGAAAGACCUGCACCACUGGUUGCCUUCACACAGGUUAACUUGGAAGACAAAGGAGGUUUGUCUAAGCUGGUGGAAGCUAUCAGGAUCAAUUACAAUGACAGAUACGAUGAGAUCUGCCAUCACUGGGGAGGCAAUGUCCUGGGUCCCAAGUCUGUGACUCGCAUUGCCAAGCUCAAAAAGGCAAAGGCUAAAGAACUUGCCACCAAUUGGAUUAAAUGUACACUGUUGAGCUUUCUUUACAUAAAAAGCCUUCCUUGAAUCCAGAAGCUGGCAAACAGCAUCAGCCAUGCAGACCUAUUGGGACACCUUCUGGAGUAUGGGAAAACCCGCCUAGUGCCAAGCAACCCUCCAAGAUGCUAGUUAUCAAAAAAGUUUCCAAAGAGGAUCCUGCUGCUGCCUUCUCUGCUGCAUUCACCUCACCAGGAUCUCACCAUGCAAAUGGGAACAAAUUGUCAUCCGUGGUUCCAAGUGUCUAUAAGAACCUGGUUCCUAAGCCUGUACCACCUCCUUCCAAGGUAUGAUUUAGAAUCAGGGCAAGAACCUUAUACAAGAGAGGUUUGGGAAUAAAUCAGG
rnacentral:lncRNA from 1 species